CUUUCAGCUAUAGUUUUCAGAUUUGUCAAAGUAUUUCUUUUUAAAAUCUAGCAGUAACGUUAACCAUUUUUAGGAUCAACCAAAAGAAGAGGAACUCAUCAGUUCCCUCUGAUCACAUACCACCAUCUAGUGGUCAAAAUCAUAGCAAGGCUAUAUUGUCUUCAGUGAAAACUGCAUUAAGAUGAUUUUGCUCUUAUUCUUUUUUUUACGUGUUGAUUUGUGACUGUCAAGUAAAUUCAUAAUCGUAAUUACAGCAAAGGCCCUCUGGAACGCAAACUACAUUUAUAUUUUGUGACAUCCCAUAAGAACUACAAUUUAUCGCAAAACACUGUUACCAUAGUAACCCUCGAAAAACUUUGUAUUAUGAGCAGGGAGUUAGCCAGAUCGCUUUAAGUAAUACCGGAAUUACGAAAGGGUCGAUAGCUUUUUGACGUGCCCCGGGUGCAACACUCGUUUGCCUUUUAUUACGUGGAAAUUGAUGAGAAAACAAGGACACAUAAUGACUGAUAAAAUGUUUCAAAUUGGACCACCGGAGACUAGAACGACGCUUCCUGCCUACCAUUGGUACAAGGAAAAGUUGAUGACCAAAUGCCUGAAAGAUACAAAGAACAAACAUCAUCUCUCAGGUGCUUUGGAUGGCCGUCGUUGGCGUUUUCUAAAUGUGGGACUUGAUGACUUCAGAGAUGGGUAUCCUAGUGCUGGGACGGCAGCUCUCUCUCAGGCCCAGAGGGGCAUGUCCCCUUCCAUUUUUGGGAUGCCAAGUCCUACAUCUCUCUCUGAUAAAACACAAUGGAAGCGCUUCUCGAAAGAGCAGGCUUGCUUCUCUAAGAAGAACCCUCAGCAGCAGGUACACCGGGAGCAUGUGGCUACAGUGGAGCACAAACUCAAACAGCAUCCUCUGGCUCUGUACCCACAUUUAGAGCAUGGCAUGCCCCCAGAGUUGUUUGAUCAGGUGAUAUGUGUCCUGGACCCAGAUAUGUGUGUGAACAGAGCUUCUGCAGUGACUUCACCAGAAAAAGAGGAGCAGGCAGACGACUGCACUGAGCCGUGGGAAACGAUCAUGCGGGAAUCGGAGUCAGAGGAGGAAGUGCGAGAGGGACCACCUGUCAGUGCAAUAAUGACGGACGAUUUAUGUGCAAAGAACCCUUACAAAGGGCUGCAAAGAAAGCAGAGCAGUGCCAAGGAAGACCAGAUAGUAAACGUCAAACGACUGCGCUCCCCAUCUCAAGACGAGGACAUCAAGAAAGUCACUAAGCUUUUCUGUGACUGGGUCGCCUCAUUGGGAGGAGAGAAGAACAACCUGACUGAAUCCACCCUACUGGGCCUGUUUGUCAGUGGGUAUGAGAAGAAGCCGUCCCUGACCUUCCCUAUCCAGGUGGUUGAGCCUAAGAACGUGCCAGAGGACCUACGUAACUCUGUGGAGGAUCUGUGCAGAGCCCACACCUGGGAAGACCCCUUAAAGGACUCAGAACCAUACAAGAGCAAACCAGGAACUAAAAGGCCCAAAUAUGGAGCAUGGUACCUGGAUACUAAAACAUGGAAGAAAAGAGAUGCUGAUGAACCAUUAAGAGACCCCAAUGUCAUCCCUGAGGACUUUGAGUUUCCUGCACAACCAAGUGAAAUGGAUGAUGAACUGAAACAGAUGCAUGGGACUCAAGCGUUCAAGCAGUUCAUCAUCAGCAAAGGGCUGAGGGUGCCUAGGGACAAUGACCCAACAACUCCAGGCUGUGUAAGGGCUAUUUGACCAAGGAGGAGAGUGAUGGAGUGCUGCAACAGAUGACCCGAUGACCGCCGAGUGAAGGAAAAGCAGCCAACAAGUUCUCAGAAUAUGUGGGAACUCCUUCAAGACGGUUGGAAACGCAUUACAGUUUCUGAGUACUCUCUUUGAAGAAGAGGAGGGAGACAACCGAUCAAAGCCAGAUGGAGCAGGCUCUGCUUCAACACGGAAGGGGACAGUGGUACUUUAGGCAGGUUUCAAUAGGCAAUAUGUUGGGCAGUUACACAGUAGUAUACUCAAUUUGUCAACACAAACUGACAUAAAACAUUUGAUGCUACGCUGCUACAAAGGUUCUCCUAAUUUUUCAUGAGUUUCCAAAUCACUGACUGGCUGCAUGUACAUCAAAGAUCAUCCCCAGUUCCCUUGACUAAUGACAUCUUUCAUGAAUAACAAGAAUAUCCUGCUAGCCUGUUGUUUAUCCUCCUGUCAUCAUAUUUGGUGACAAUCCUCUAUAUUUGGUGUCAUCUUUGCCAUGUUGAUAGUAACAUGCCAUGGACAAAUUGUAUUCAUAAUAAAAGACA